rnacentral:rRNA from 1 species
AAAAUUGCAGUUGAUACUGUCAGUCUUGAGUACAGUAGAGGUGGGCGGAAUUCGUGGUGUAGCGGUGAAAUGCUUAGAUAUCACGAAGAACUCCGAUUGCGAAGGCAGCUCACUGGACUGCAACUGACACUGAUGCUCGAAAGUGUGGGUAUCAAACAGGAUUAGAUACCCUGGUAGUCCACACAGUAAACGAUGAAUACUCGCUGUUUGCGAUAUACAGUAAGCGGCCAAGCGAAAGCAUUAAGUAUUCCACCUGGGGAGUACGCCGGCAACGGUGAAACUCAAAGGAAUUGACGGGGCCCGCACAAGCGGAGGAACAUGUGGUUUAAUUCGAUGAUACGCGAGGAACCUUACCCGGGCUUAAAUUGCAGUGGAAUGAUGUGGAAACAUGUCAGUGAGCAAUCACCGCUGUGAAGGUGCUGCAUGGUUGUCGUCAGCUCGUGCCGUGAGGUGUCGGCUUAAGUGCCAUAACGAGCGCAACCCUUAUCUUCAGUUACUAACAGGUCAUGCUGAGGACUCUGGAGAGACUGCCGUCGUAAGAUGUGAGGAAGGUGGGGAUGACGUCAAAUCAGCACGGCCCUUACGUCCGGGGCUACACACGUGUUACAAUGGGGGGUACAGAAGGCAGCUAGCGGGUGACCGUAUGCUAAUCCCAAAAUCCUCUCUCAGUUCGGAUCGAAGUCUGCAACCCGACUUCGUGAAGCUGGAUUCGCUAGUAAUCGCGCAUCAGCCACGGCGCGGUGAAUACGUUCCCGGGCCUUGUACACACCGCCCGUCAAGCCAUGGGAGCCGGGGGUACCUGAAGUACGUAACCGCAAGGAUCGUCCUAGGGUAAAACUGGUGACUGGGGCUAAGUCGUAACAAGGUAACC